rnacentral:lncRNA from 1 species
CUCCUUAGGCCUCCUUAGCCCUCCUUAGGCCUUUGUAGGCCUCCUUAGCCCUCCUUAGCCCUCCUUAGCCCUCCUUAUGCCUCCUCAGCCCUCCUUAUGCCUCCUUAGCCGUCCUUAGGCCUCCUUAGCCCUCCUAAGACCUCCUUAGCCCUCCUUAGCCCUCCUUAGGUUUCCUUAGGCCUCCUUAGCCAUCCUUAGGCCUCCUUAAGCCUCCUUAGGCCUCCUUAUUCCUCCUUAGCCCUCCUCAUGCCUCCUCAGCCCUCCUUAUGCCUCCUUAGCCGUCCUUAGGCCUCCUUAGCCCUCCUAAGACCUCCUUAGACCUCAUUAGCCCUCCUUAGCCCUCCCUAGGUUUCCUCAGGCCUCCUUAGCCCUCCUUAGCCCUCCUUAGGCCUAGUUAGGUGUCCUUAGGCCUCCUUAGCCCUCCUUAUGCCUCAUUAGCCCUCCUUAGGCCUCCUUAGCCCUCCUUAUGCAUCCUUAGCCCUCCUUAGGUCUCCUUAGGCCUCCUUAGCCCUCUAGGCCUCGUUAGGCCUCCUUGGGCCUCCUUGGGCUUCCUUAGCCUUCCUUAUGCCUCCUUAGCCCUCCUUAUGCCUCCUUAGCCCUCCUUAGGCCUCCUUAUGCUUCCUUAGCCCUCCUUCGACCUCCUUAGGCCUCCUUAGGCCUCCUUAGGCCUCCUUAGCCCUCCUUAGCCCUCCUUAGGCGUCUUUAGGCCUCCUUAGGCCUCCUUAGCGUUCCUUAGGCCUCCUUAGCCCUCCUUAGCAAUCCUUAGGCCUCCUUAAAUCUCCUUAGGCCUCCUUAUGCCUCCUUGGCCUCCUUCGACCUCCUUAGCGUUCCUUAGGCCUCCUUAGGCCUCUUUAGGCCUCCUUAGCCCUUAGGCCUAAACGAUUGUUGCCGAACGUGAGGGCAUUGUCAAGUGAUAACAUUUCAGUUCAGUGCAGGAAUAAAUUGUUGUCAAACGCGUUUUUGUUGUUGAAUAUUUUGAUAUUGUCACCAAAUUUUCAGUUGCAGUUGCCAUAAAAUCAUUGCCAGUUUGGAAAUUCCAACUUUUAGUUUAUGCGUGGGGGGGGGGGCGAUGGGAAUUAAAGUAACAUAUUGCUGAUUAUGCUGAAAAAAUAAUAUUGAAAUAUUCGGUGGUUUCGAAUAUGUAUUUUUUUGAAAACUAAACGUCCCAGAUAUUUUUUCGCACGUUAAGUUCAUCAACUUUAAAAGCAAGGGAAAUUUGUCUAAAAUAGGGAAAUUUUGAGCAUUUUUUUGAGAUUGGAAGCACUGAGACGUGAUACGACCCACUGACACUGAGCUAUACCAUCAGUGAACUUUAUGUAGUAUGUAAGCCAUGUUUAUUGUUUACUAUAUAGUUCAAUAUACGAUACGACCGUCGCGUGGACUCCCAAGAUAAAAAUAUCAGUGACGUGGUCUAACGCCCGUAUUCUAAAAGCACACUCAAUGAGUGGAAGUUCAAUCUAAGAUUCUCUUGAGUACCGAUGCUGUUUUCGAAUAGCUGGAGGGUGAGCAUUCACUUAGUACGGUACGACACGAACCCUCCAGCUAUUCAAAAACAGCAUCGACACUGGAAGUAAGCAGCCAGAAGCUGACUGGAUUGAACUUCCACUCAUUGAGUGUGAGUGAGCUUUUACAACUACAAGGGCGUCCGCGUAAGAUUCCUUAAGGAUCUAUAAUAAGGUGUAAAGACCUGAUAGGAAGUUUAAUUAGAGGUCGGGAAUCUUCGAGUUAAGCCCUUCGAGUUAAGCCACGACCACGCCAUGUUUUGCCAUGACCGCGGCCUUUUUCAAAAAGGGCUUAACUCGAAGAACGAAACACGAUUUGGGUUAUUCGAGUUAAGCCCCGGGGCUUAACUUGAAGUUUGACAAAAAAAAUUGUUGCUCGAGUUAAG